rnacentral:lncRNA from 1 species
CCGGGUUCGGGGUGGCCGGAAGGGGCCAUCCUGCCCCUGAGGAAGGCCCCCAGUGAGGACUCCCUCCCCACGCGCGCUCCGCUAGGCCUCAAGGAGGCCUCACCGGCUCUCGGCUCCGGCCCCGCAGCCAAGCCUGACCCCCAGCAACCCCCGGGGACCCGGGGUCCCGCCGAACGGAGGCACCGCGACCUGCCACCCUCCCGACCAGGCCCCACCGACUGUCUUCGGAAAAAAAAUAAACCCGCUCCCGAGGACGCGGCGACGCUUAGUACAGCCAAGGAUUUUUUUCCAGGCCCCGUACGUUCCACAAAGCUCCUUGGAUUUGGAUGCUUUCCCAGUCGGGCGCCGAUUCGUCACGGCGAGGAAGGCGGAGGUGGCCAGAUCGCGAUAGGCCCGGUUCCCGCGGCGGUGAGGGGUCCGAGCGGCGGCGGCGGCGGGAGGUGCCGAGCCCUGCCCGAGGGCGUGGUGGCGAGGCCCGCGGCCUCGGCUUCCGCGCGUGAGGCCGGGAGACGCAGGAGCCGCUCCAGGGGGAGGCCGCGCGCACCUCGGGCUCCGGCCGCGGCCGCCCCCGCGGGACCCCCGGCGCCGGGUCUCCCGCUUCCCCUCGCGUCGCUGGGCGGCAGGACGAGUGUUCCCCGUGCUUCUCAGAGCGGACGACGCGGGCGCGGAGGACUCGGCCUGGAGGGAAGCAGCACGGGCUUUGGCUGGCCACAGGUUUCCGAGCGAGGGCCCUGGUGUGGCCUUGCAGCGCCGAGGGUGCCUGCUGCUGGGCUCUGCCCCAGAUCCGCCUUCGCCGGCUGCGUAGACUCCUGUGCCGUUUGGGAUGCAGCUCAGCCGUGCCCUCGGGAGGCCCUCUUGCAGUGCCCCCCCCCCCCCAACAAUCCUUCCCUUGUACCCCCAGGCCUUUCCAUCUGGCCCUUAGGAAGGUGUGUCAGCUUUGCAGUGCCGGUCACCGCUGAAGGUCUGGAGCCCAGCUCGAUGCCCGUGACAUGGGCACCGCGGCAGCCCUCUGGCCUGCUCCAGCCAGGGCCCUUACCCCCCAAGUCAUUGGGGCUCUUUGCUCACCGUCUGGAGUGA